rnacentral:rRNA from 1 species
AACGAACGCUGGCGGCAUGCCUAACACAUGCAAGUCGAACGAGAUCUUCGGGUCUAGUGGCGCACGGGUGCGUAACGCGUGGGAAUCUGCCCUCAGGUUCGGAAUAACCAUUGGAAACGAUGGCUAAUACCGGAUGAUGACGUUAAGUCCAAAGAUUUAUCGCCUGAGGAUGAGCCCGCGUAGGAUUAGCUAGUUGGUGUGGUAAAGGCGCACCAAGGCGACGAUCCUUAGCUGGUCUGAGAGGAUGAUCAGACACACUGGGACUGAGACACGGCCCAGACUCCUACGGGAGGCAGCAGUGGGGAAUAUUGGACAAUGGGCGAAAGCCUGAGCCAGCAAUGCCGCGUGAGUGAUGAAGGCCUUAGGGUUGUAAAGCUCUUUUACCCGGGAUGAUAAUGACAGUACCGGGAGAAUAAGCUCCGGCUAACUCCGUG